AUUGAACGCUGGCGGCGUGCCUAACACAUGCAAGUCGAACGCGAAAAUUUCUUCGGAAAUGAGUAGAGUGGCGCACGGGUGAGUAACGCGUGGAUUAUCUACCUACUGGUACGGGACAACAGUUGGAAACGACUGCUAAUACCGUAUACGCUGGUAACGGGAAAGGGGACCUCUUCUUGAAAGCUCUCGCCAGUAGAUGAGUCCGCGUUUCAUUAGCUAGACGGUGGGGUAACGGCCUACCGUGGCAACGAUGAAUAGCAGGCCUGAGAGGGUGGCCUGCCACACUGGGACUGGAACACGGCCCAGACUCCUACGGGAGGCAGCAGUGGGGAAUAUUGCGCAAUGGACGAAAGUCUGACGCAGCGACGCCGCGUGGAGGAUGAAGGUUUUCGGAUCGUAAACUCCUGUCAAGAGGGAAGAAACCUAUUAUGAAUAAUACUCAUGGUAAUUGACGGUACCUCUAGAGGAAGCACCGGCUAAUUCAGUGCCAGCAGCCGCGGUAAUACUGAAGGUGCAAGCGUUAAUCGGAAUCACUGGGCGUAAAGCGCUCGUAGGUGGCUUUGUAAGUCAGGUGUGAAAGCCCAAGGCUCAACCGUGGAAUUGCACUUGAUACUGC
rnacentral:rRNA from 1 species